GUCCACGCCGUAAACGGUGAGCACUAGAUGUCGGGGGUAUCGACCCCUCCGGUGUCGCAGCUAACGCAUUAAGUGCUCUGCCUGGGGAGUACGGCCGCAAGGCUAAAACUCAAAGGAAUUGACGGGGGCCCGCACAAGCAGCGGAGCGUGUGGUUUAAUUCGAUGCAACGCGAAGAACCUCACCUAGGCUUGACAUGCCCUUAGUAGAACCCUGAAAGGGGAACGACUCGUCGAAUCGAGUGGUGGCACAGGUGCUGCAUGGCUGUCGU
rnacentral:rRNA from 1 species